CAAGCACUAAUGGUGUAGUGGUAACAUAUAACACUUCCAGUGGUCUUCCGACCGCCAAGUUAUGUUGUGCCGGGGGUUCGAUUCCCUCUUAGUGCAU
rnacentral:tRNA from 1 species